AGGACGAACGCUGGCGGCGUGCUUAACACAUGCAAGUCGAGCGGUAAGGCCUUUCGGGGUACACGAGCGGCGAACGGGUGAGUAACACGUGGGUGAUCUGCCCUGCACUUCGGGAUAAGCCUGGGAAACUGGGUCUAAUACCGGAUAUGACCUCCUAUCGCAUGGUGGGUGGUGGAAAGAUUUAUCGGUGCAGGAUGGGCCCCGCGGCCUAUCAGCUUGUUGGUGGGGUAAUGGCCUACCAAGGCGACGACGGGUAGCCGACCUGAGAGGGUGACCGGCCACACUGGGACUGAGACACGGCCCAGACUCCUACGGGAGGCAGCAGUGGGGAAUAUUGCACGAAUGGGCGAAAGCCUAGAUGCAGCGACGCCGCGUGAGGAUGACGGCCUUCGGGUUGUAAACCGUCUUUCAGCAGGACGAAGCGCAAGUGACGGUACCUGCAGAAGAAGCACCGGACUAACUACGUGCCAGCAGCCGAC
rnacentral:rRNA from 1 species